rnacentral:lncRNA from 1 species
CUGGACGUCGCCAUCUGCCGCUUAGGAGAUGAGGCCAUCUGCUGGCAAGCCGGCAUGGAAGCGUCUCUCCCCGAUUGGCCUAGCUUUAAAGCCGCGUUUCUGGAACGAUUCGAUCCGACCCAAGAAGAGUUGUUUAGCCGGCUAGCUCGUUGUCGGCAAGAACGGGGCGAAGCUGUACGGACGUACGCUGACCGCUACCGCGACCUAGCUGCACAACUGGGUGUGGACACGCAACACGACCCCAUCCACAUGCAUAACUUCUUACAAGGACUACAACUCAAGGUUUACAACAAGGUUUUCCUCAUGCGACCAUCUAGCUUUGAAGACGCUGUACGAUGCGCCAUCUAUAUCAACGAGGGCUUGGACCGCCAGGAUGUGGCUGGCCACUACGAACCGUUUCCCCCUCAGCGCACACGCGAUAUGGAUUUCCACAGCCAUCCUUCUCGGGCUACCCCGCGCUGGGAAAACCGUCACGGCGACCUUCGUGGUAAUGUGCCUGAUUCCCCGACCCCUAGCGGCUCACGACCGGAUGGUCCCCGAACUCCAGUGGCUACACAACGUCCCAUGGGACCACGGCAACCAGAGCAGAAGCCCGCUGGGAAUGCUCCCUGGCAGAGUCGCCCAAAACCUAAGGUUUCGACACCCCCAGAGAAUGAACCCCUGGAGUCACGAGUUGACGAAAUCGCUCGCCAGUUGUCACGAUUAACCCUGUUGCUGGAGCGCAACCCUAAUGUACAAUUGUGGGAAAGGGAUAACACUCACCAUGAAGACCCACAUUUGUCUCAGAUGGAGCAUCCGGACAUCUACUCUUGUUUCCGGCCGGCUACCCCACCAGCCGCCUAUGUCAAACGUGUGGCCAAUUUCGAGCCUAUACCGCUUCCCCGCAAGCGUCCAACGGCUACCCCUAGCCAGGAUGCGCCUCGGCCUGCUACUACCGGGCGUAUAGGCAUUGUACGACCUGUGGUGACACCGUUGGCUUCCCCGAAUGCCCCGGCUACGGCUACCCAGGCACAUCAGCCACAGGAGCCAGCAGCUCCGGGUGCGCCACCUCCAGGGUGUACUGCCGCAACCGGAGGUACCGUCCCUGCUCAGCGAGGCAUUGCCAGCGCUGAACCUCGUCUCCGUCGACGAGUAGCUGAGUCUGGCAGCCGCACCGAUCCGAUUCCUGCGGACCCACAAGAGGAAGAACGGCGUAUUGCUGAGGACAUCAUCCAUAAGGUCAACAAGUAUGCACUACCAUUGAGUACAACGCUACGGUGCAACCCUAUUAGCAUCUACACGAAGGUCGGCAGCCGAGUCCUUGGGUUGGCUCGUCAGCACACCGGCACUGGCAACCCCCAGCCUGGGCCCAUGUUUGGUCCAGCGAGGCCUGCGGCAGGCACUCUGCAAGCUUCUCUUUCAGAGCGUCCAUCUUCAACAAUACCCGCCUGGAAGUCUGAUGCCGUCGUACCACCCUGGCAAGUUUGCAAAGCUACCGUAUGGAUAAUUGACGGACAUGGAGGACAAGUUCCCGUCCCUGCUGUCAUCGAUUCUGGGGCUUCUCAUAGCGUUGUUACACGAGACACACUACGGCGUUUAGAUCUUCUACACCUGAUGGAGGAGACGGAGGUGACGUUCCUGAAUGCGGAUGGCAAUCGUGGUCGGGCCGCUGGACGUGUCAGUGAACUGCAAGUGUCCACUGGCGACCUAACGAUGCUGCUGAGUCCGUUCGUCAGCACCGCCCUCAACUAUCAGCUACUCCUGGGCACCGACUUCCUCUACCCAAUACGAGCAAGUAUUUCGUACGACAGUGGUCGUCUGGAAUACACCAAUGACCGGGAUCAGCGGUCCAACAUUGCUAUCCAUUUUCUUCGGAGCCCCGGCUCUAAUAUUCCCCCGUCUGCUCGACUUUGGGACGACUCACCUGAGCAAGACGACACUCAACCAGCUUCCAUGUUGACGGCCGAGGCAUCAGUACAGCGGCCUGAGACGCCCACGCCACAAGGGCAGAUAUCGCCUGCGGCUAUCAAUAGAGGCUCCGCGCCUGAAACCAUUGAUUCACCUGAUGGAAACAGCGGAGAGGUUAGUGAUGGAGAUUCGACAGCCCGUGGGGACAUGGACAUGGAACACAUCGUCGGCAUACUUGUACGGCAAGUGCUUAGGUCAGACGAGAUUCCGUCAGAAAAUGCCUCCAGCGGCGAAUGGGCUGCGGAUGCAUGGAGUACCGACAGCGUCGUCAGUUCUGGCAGUGAAGAGGCUCGGGCAAAUGUCUGGCCUGGAGAUGAGUUCGAGUACGACAAUGACUCGCACUCCGGACCUGGACCGCCAAUAUCGACCCCUGCGGAUCCAUUCCGUUCUUUUCCUGAAACUACUCCCGUCUUAAGUUCGCGAGAGCUCCUGUUACCACGAUUGCUAACUGAGGAGUGUGCUUCCGUUACCCACAGCCAUGCUGCGGCAGCACAGUUUGAUGCGAACAUGCCAGCUGCCCUUGCCCCAGACGGCUUGGAUCAUGACGGACAUUUAGAGGAGGCUCAUUUUCGCGGGUUGGUAGCCCGUGCAGUUCGGCCAGUCAAGAGCCCUACCCCUGAGCUACGCGAGUUGCUAAGCAGCAAAGUAAACACCGACCUUCAGUACCUCGACCACCAGCAGCUGGUCACAUGUUUGACUGACAACUUUGACAUGUUCGCCUUAACCAACCGAGAGCUAGGGCUUACGUCCUGGGUGUCCAUGAAGGUGGACACAGGAGAUCAUCCUCCUAUCGUGCAGAAUCCUUACCGUCUGUCACGAACGGAGAAAGCCGCCGUUGAUGCUGAGAUGCGGCAGAUGCUACAGGACGGAAUCAUCGAACUGUCCAACAGUCCUUGGGUGUCUCCAGUAGUAGUCGUUCCCAAGAAAAACGGAGAACUCCGGCCCUGUGUGGAUAUGCGGAGGGUCAACGACGUCACUAAGGACAUCCGGUUUCCGAUAGGCCACAUCCAGGAUAUUUUGGAUAUUGCUGCACCUCCGGGUGGCGAGACUCGUUACUACUCCAGCCUGGACUUGAAGUCGGGCUACUGGCAAGUCCCGAUGGCGGACGAGGCUUCUAAGGAGCGUACGGCAUUUGCCACGCCCACAGCUCAGUAUCGAUAUGUACGAAUGCCCAUGGGUCUAAAGGGGGCAGCCGCCGUGUUCACUACCCUGAUGCACAAGGUUCUGGGCCCACUACUAGAGGAUUCGCCUCCACCCCCUGCUUCAUCGGAUAGCCC